rnacentral:rRNA from 1 species
UGGUGGGUAGUUUGACUGGGGCGGUCUCCUCCUAAAGAGUAACGGAGGAGCACGAAGGUUGGCUAAUCCUGGUCGGACAUCAGGAGGUUAGUGCAAUGGCAUAAGCCAGCUUGACUGCGAGCGUGACGGCGCGAGCAGGUGCGAAAGCAGGUCAUAGUGAUCCGGUGGUUCUGAAUGGAAGGGCCAUCGCUCAACGGAUAAAAGGUACUCCGGGGAUAACAGGCUGAUACCGCCCAAGAGUUCAUAUCGACGGCGGUGUUUGGCACCUCGAUGUCGGCUCAUCACAUCCUGGGGCUGAAGUAGGUCCCAAGGGUAUGGCUGUUCGCCAUUUAAAGUGGUACGCGAGCUGGGUUUAGAACGUCGUGAGACAGUUCGGUCCCUAUCUGCCGUGGGCGCUGGAGAACUGAGGGGGGCUGCUCCUAGUACGAGAGGACCGGAGUGGACGCAUCACUGGUGUUCGGGUUGUCAUGCCAAUGGCACUGCCCGGUAGCUAAAUGCGGAAGAGAUAAGUGCUGAAAGCAUCUAAGCACGAAACUUGCCCCGAGAUGAGUUCUCCCUGAGACUUUAGGUCUCCUGAAGGAACGUUGAAGACGACGACGUUGAUAGGCCGGGUGUGUAAGCGCAGCGAUGCG